rnacentral:sRNA from 1 species
ACGACAACAAAGGGCUCAGCCCUGCCUGGUUCCUGCAGCACAUCAUCGUCAGGGACCUGCAGACGGCACGCAGCGCCUUCUUCCUGGUCAAUGACUGGCUUUCGGUGGAGACGGAGGCCAACGGGGGCCUGGUGGAGAAGGAGGUGCUGGCCGCGAGCGACGCAGCCCUGUUGCGCUUCCGGCGCCUGCUGGUGGCUGAGCUGCAGCGCGGCUUCUUUGACAAGCACAUCUGGCUCUCCAUAUGGGACCGGCCGCCUCGUAGCCGUUUCACUCGCAUCCAGAGGGCCACCUGCUGCGUUCUCCUCAUCUGCCUCUUCCUGGGCGCCAACGCCGUGUGGUACGGGGCUGUUGGCGACUCUGCCUACAGCACGGGGCGUGUGUCCAGGCUGAGCCCGCUGAGUGUCGACACAGUCGCUGUUGGCCUGGUGUCCAGCGUGGUUGUCUAUCCCGUCUACCUGGCCAUCCUCUUUCUCUUCCGGAUGUCCCGGAGCAAGGUGGGCUGGGGCUGGGGACCCGGGAGUACUGGGAAUGGAGCCUGGGCCUUGGCACCAUGCCCAGGGCCGCCACUUUCCAGUGCUGCAGCCAGAGGGAAAGGCGUCCACCAAAGGCUGCUCGGGAAGGGUCAACACACUUGAGCAGCCUUAGCUAGACUGACCAGGGAGAAAGAGAGAAGACU